GGCGACUCUCCUUUCGGGUCCACUUCCCUUGAGUCCAUACAGAACUGAAGUGGGCACCCCAUCCAAAAGAACUGGCAUCUGUCGUAAUAACCUUCCAAGGGGGUUCUUCCAACAGGAAGCCUGUUGUCAGAUUCCUCUCGCUUUUCCACCAGUUUAAGCCCUUCCUCACGGGCAGGGGAAGAGAGAUCCUCUGCUCCCAAUCCGUUUCCACCCUGUCGAACUGGAGAAGAAAGCAAUUGUGGGCUGGACAGAACUUCCACUGGGCCCACUUCACCAACCCUAUUGUCGAUGUCAAGGAACC